AUAUCAGAAAGAGGUAAGGAAGAAGAUGAUAGAAAACAAAUUAAACUGUCCUCUUUCUACCAUUCUAUUUCUUUUUCAGUUUAUUGGGAGUAAAGAGCCAAAUAGAGAAAGAAAAGAAGAGCAAAGAAAGAGGGAAGAAGAAGAUCGAAAGAAGAGAUAUGUCUUUCUCUUCAAAGACCCAACGGUAGCCGGAGUAUGAUGAGAUGUUCCCUUCACUAUUCAGUGAUCAUCCUAAUAUAUUUCCUCCACACCUGUCGACAUGGGCUAGUGAACUUUGGCACUGAAAUAGCAUGAAAGUUUUCAGAUGGAGCUUAAAAAGAAGAUCUAUGGUUCGAUUUGAUGGCAAAUACUGGUGAUGGCGGGAACUCAUCUUCUUCAGUUGCAGGAGUACUUGGUCAGCAGUUUCUUUUAUUUCUUCAAUGUUUCUAACAAGGUUGCAUUUACUGAAUUGGUAAUUAGGAUAUUGGAGCUAGAUCAUAUGGUGGUUUGGUACUAUGAACUUUUGUGUUUUAUGAGGUAUCUCUUUCUUUUUGUAUUUUUCAUU